GAGCUGCCGAAGGCGGGGCAGGUAACUGGGGUGAAGUCGUAACAAGGUAGCCGUAUCGGAAGGUGCGGCUGGAUCACCUCCUUUCUAAGGAA
rnacentral:rRNA from 1 species